AACGAGGCCGACCUGCGGCUGAGUUACCUGCGGAAGGAUCAUUAAUGAUUGACCGAAAGGUCCUAUCUUAACAUCCCUCACCUCUGUGAACCGUUUGACCUCCGGGUCUAACAAACUAUACAAACAUCAGUGUAAUGAACGUCUUGUUAUCUUAACAAAAACAAAACUUUUAACAACGGAUCU
rnacentral:misc_RNA from 1 species